CCUUCGCUCUAAUAUCAAUUCCAAAAAAAAAGGAAACUAGGUAACUCAAUACAUACUAAUUCGACUGGAACUCCAAUUUCUCAAUAUUGAUUAAAUAAAUCUAGGUUUAGGGUUUGAUGUGCUUAUAAUCAGAAAAAAUCUUAAAGCGAGAGCUAAGGUUAAAGAGCAGAAGGAAAAUUCAGAGAGUUGAAAAGAAGAUUAUACCGCAUAGAAAUUAAAGAAAACAGAUUAUGGCUCCAAUCAAGUUGGUGAUUAAGUUGAAUGGUCGGCCAAUUUGUAAGCGGAAAUUUGAGAUUGAAGAUAAUAAUAAUGGGCUACAAGAAGAGAAAUCACUGAAAAAGGACUAUCUCAAUGGUAAAUCAGGAUUAAUUACUUGCAUGAAGACUGUCGGGAGACAUAGCUUAUACAACCACAGGGGAAGGUAUACAAGGUUAAGGCCUUAUGUGCGAGAUUUUCUUGAACAAGUAUGCCAGAAAUUCGAGCUUUACGUUUAUACCAAGGGACAACGGUGGUACGCUAAAGAGGUGGUCAGAUUGAUUGAUCCUAAAAGUGUUUAUUUUAAGAAUAAAGUGAUUUCGAAAGAUGAUUCUACACACAGAAAUCGAAAAAAUCUAGAUGUGGUGUUGGGAGCAAAUGCAACUAACACGGUAAUUAUCGACGAUACGGAAUCAGUCUGGAAAGAGCACAAAGAUAACAUAAUUCACAUCAACAAAUUUAAUUAUUUUUCAUCAAGAAACGGCGGUGGACAUCGAUUAAACAUGGAUAAUGAUGAGUUGGAUGAAGACGAUGGUGCCCUCAAAAGAAUCUUAGAAAUCCUGCAGCGUGUUCAUGAGAAGUUCUUUGAAGAGUUCCCAGACAACACUGAUAUUAGACCAGUGUUGAAAGCGGUGCUUAAAGAAGUUUCUGCGAAUUGAUUACUUUCAGUAAUUCAAUUAAUUUUGUAAUGUAGUUUCGGUGAUUUGGGCUCUUUCUUUUUGAAUUUGUGCAGGAUAUUAUCAAAUGGACUUCUUUGCUUCCGGGUUCUGGAGAGCUUUUGUCCUGUGCGUCUAUAAUAGGCUUAAUCCAAGGAAUGCAUGGUAUUAUGUAUUGUUAUGGUUUGUUUUUCUUAUGCAACAUCUCCCCUUAUUGCAGCAACCCAACUUGUUUCCAUGUCACCUUUUUCAUCCAUUUUGGGUUAAGCAGACAUUUACUUUUUUCUCCAUGAAAACUAUUCUAAUACUCAUAAUGGGUUCUAUACUUCUCAGAUCUUAGUGCUUGAUUUCUUUCAUAACAAUUUCUGCAGUUUUAGGAUUCAUUCUUUUGAGGACCCAAGUUGCUUAAGCCAAGGACAAUCAAGCAAUGACUUAUCCUGUAGUGUUGCAGCUUCAGUUUGUCUGGCCUUCCAUGCUACAGUGAUUUGCACAAUUGAUGUCUUAUAAACAAGGAUUUCUUGGCAACGCACGCAGAAGCAAAUUACUAUGGAUAUGAGCAAUAACAUACUACUUGGUGAUGUUUCAAAUAGUGGACCGUGCUGCAGCUCCUUUUGAAAGACCUGCACCACCAGGCUAGAAUGAGAUACUCAUUUUCUUUAUUAUAUAUUCCUGGUAAUUUUUUCCAAUGCAUGGGUUUCCGGCAUUGAAAGAACUAAAAAGGAAACACUGUCCCACGCCCCGUCUGAUUUGGAUCAGUUGACAGCUUGAAUAAGCCCCGUCUAAGAUUUUAUGUUUCAGUGUGCAUCUUCACAUAUUGACCCAUUUCUUCUGCUGUAUGAUGACUCAAUCGAGUUAGAGGUUUAAAUGGAGUCUUAACUUUAAACUUGAGGAACCCACUUACCUGAAUAUGAUCAGGUAGAUUUUCAUCUUUAGGCAGAAUGACAAAAAGUGUCUCUCUCAUGAAACUACCCAUUUCUCUAAGUAAUACUGCGACACUAAGAAACUCAAGAGGAAGUUUCUUCACAUCAAGGCAGAACGUUUGAGUAUCCAUAUGCAUUUCUCUGAAGUUGAUGGUUGGAUUCCAUCCAGUUACAACUCCCCUACAAUGUGGCGUUCUCACUUGAAGAACAUAAAAAAUGUACUACUUUCAAAUGGUGGACCUGUUACACCUGUAAGUACUUGAUUACAUUUACAAAGCAACUUUAGUGUUUAUUCACAAUUCUAAAUUUGUACAAAUUUUUAAAUUCUGAAAUAAAAUGGACUUCGGUUUAGCGCUGCUGCUCCUUUUGAAGGACCUGUACCGCCAGACUACGUGGUCAUUUUUUCCUGUGCAUGGGUUUCCAGCAUUGAAAGAACUAAAAAGGAAACACUCUGUCCCACCUGAUUUGGAUCAGUUACCAUUCUUUGUUGAUAGCAUGAAUAACCCCUGUUUAAGAACAUAUGUUUCAGGUGUGCAUCUUCAUAUAUUGAUCUGUUACAGCAGUAAAUAUCAUUUUCAAGUCUCAAAUAACUU